CUCGUUUCCAGCCAAGAGAAUGACCUUCACUAUAACCAGUGAGCUUCAGUUCCCACCAGUUAGGGAAAUUAAGGAUUUUUAAACCAGUUAGACACCGCCUGGUCAGGUUACUCAUUAUGUACCUUGUUCCCUUGGGCCUUUUUUUAAGCUCUGUAGAACAGAGAAGAAAAAUGUGCCCACUCUGUGGAACAUUUCAGUACAACAACUUUUUUUUUUUUUUUUUAAAGUCAAAAUGCAGAAUUUUUUUUUAUUUCCUUCUCAUCUCAAGGCCAGCUCAGAAGGCAGACAUUUGUUUACAGAGAAGAGACUGGACUCUCGGUGAAAGCAAGGACAAGUGCAAAACUUCACUUUGUCAAAGUAAGUGUGGAGAAAAUUAAGUAUAGAGCACAAGUCCAUCAGGAGAACUUAAAAGGUCAAAAAAAGAAUAGCAGUCUCCAGAGAGGAAUGAAGUCAGACAGGGAAACCUUCCUGAAUUUUAUCAAGAUCUUACACUCCUUUUUUGUGCAAAUGAGUAUGUAGCAGAAUUAAGUAUCUUGAUUACAUUUUGUAUUGGAACUGUCUGCACUGCUGUGCUAUGGUACAAAAUUGGAAAAAAAAAAGAAAAAGGGGCGACCCAUUCCUUAAUCUAGUAGUAUAUCUCACAGACAGUUGUGUCUGCACAAGAAGGCAAAG